CCGACACGGAAAAUCGAAUUAGGAGACAGCCGGGCUGGGACUGGAUGAGAUGCGAGCGCCGGGAGUCUCCCCAGUAUUGAAUCCGACCGCCAGCUGCAGGGAGGGCACGGGAUCCCUUGGUGCAGACGGGCCCCCAAGCCCUGCUUCCCCUUGGGUCGGUGUUUAAUAUCUGUAAAACUGCCACUCGGACAGCCAAGGUAAACAGCGUCCCCGGCAGUUCAAAGCGCGGCCGGGGCGCCGGAGCUGGAAAAGCCAUUUCGCCGCCCUCCCGGUCCCCGCCAGGCCGCUAUCCCUGCGCCGCUCCCCAGCGGGUCCCCGGAGGGUCCCGCAGUGCGCUCUGUCGGGCCCAGGCCAGGCCACCCAGCGGCGGUAGGAGCCCACCCAGCCCGGUUCAGGCGGUGGCAGCCUGACAGGGGAAAGUGGGAACAAAGUCCCCAACAAAUUAUGCAGUCCAGUUUCUGGCAUUUGGGAAAAUCAUGUUGGUGAGCACAUCAGGAGUGCAAUGGAUAAGCCUCAUCUUGGUUCUUCCUGCCUAAUAAGUGUGUGAGUCUGUACGUAUGUAAGUAUGAAUAUUUGAAUGUACCCGAAGACGUAUACCCACAUGUGUGCAUGUUUAAAAUGUGUCUGUCUAUUUAGAUAUAUGCAUGUUGCCUAGGUCAACAUUCAUGUGUCAGCAUGAGUGUGUAUGUACCUGGAUAUGCAGCUGCAACAGCAGAAGCUUGAAUAAAGAUGUGUGCCCUUGCCUUUGCACAAG